rnacentral:tRNA from 1 species
GCGGGGUUGGUAUAUCGGUCGUGCCCAGGCUUCCCAAGCCUGUGAAACGGGUUCGACUCCCGUACCCCGCUCCA